CCUCAUAGUUCUCAACCCAUUACAUCGACCACUAGCCACACCCUUAGGUAACAUCUCUCCUUUUCUUUUAGAAGUUAAGCUUGUUUCGCCUCUUGAUUACCAAUAAGAAUAAAAUCUGAAAUAAUUAACUUAAAAGGCAAGUUUCAUCAUCCACUCAACCUCUCUUUAAGCCAAAGCUUGUUAUCUUGAUUACCAAUAAGAAUAACACGCCGAAAACAUUAAUUUAGAAGGCAAGUUAUAUGGGACUGACUGUCAGGCUUAAGUCCAACAUAUCUACAAGAUGUGUGUCUGUGGAUAGGAUGCUAAGGUAUAUAUGCAUCCAUACAAUAUUAGACGAUUAAAUCUAACCACAUAUGGCAAAAUGAGAGAACUUUUGAAGUCCAUGCAGACCUAGCGAAAAGAAUAGGGAAGAAUGGAAGAAAGAGAUCUGAAUAGGCAAUACCAAUUAGUUGGGAUUAAGAUUUAGUUAUGUUAGCAUGUCUAUUUUAGUCCAUUAUUUUCUAAGAGCCCCUUAGUCCUGCCAGUAGGAAAAUAUAGAAAAGUUCAGGUACUCAUUUUUUAUUUUAAUUUAUACAAUACUGCAAUGAGAUGAACUUAUAUUGCAGCGAUAUGGACAGUGAUGAUUCAUACAGCUGGCCUCAACUUGCUAUGUUGUGUAUAAAAUAAUUUAGAUCAGGCCUAAUACGAACAAAAUGGACUUCUUGGUGUCAAAAUGAAUGUAAUUAUUUUCAAGAUUUAAAGGGACAACUUAUGUUUGGGCAGACAUCCAAGCUAUGUCACAGAGUUAUGUUAAAAAAAAAAAUCCAAUCUCAUGCAAUUAAUUAUAAAGCAACAUUCGGUAUUAGUGAAAAUAUACUGUAAAAAAAGGGCAUAAUUCUACCAGAAAGAACAGCAAAGGGAAUUAUGCAUACAGCCUCGAAUCUCCAAACUUUGAGGGCUUGACAUUUUUUUACUUUUUAUGACAAGGGAAACCCGCAGCUGCUACCCUUUGGGUGCGCACAAGGUAAAAUCCCUGAUCCUAUGCAAUAGCUCGCAAACCACAUAGGAGAGGUAACCCGCACUAGGCAAGCCCAGUGCGACGAGCUCGACCCAGAAGGCAAACCCAUUGUUUUUGCUGGCAAGGGGUUUCGAACUUGAGACCUCCAACAUGGAAGUCCCAAGCCCAAACCACUGGGCCACCUCGAAGGGUUGAGGGCUUGACAUUUUAUCUAUCUUAUGUGGUUUUCUACACAUGAUUAGCAAAGCUAUUCAGUCAUUUUUACACAAAUGUUAAGUCAUCAGAAUUGAAACCAAGUGCUACCUAGGUGAAGAACAUCAAAUACAAUUCAAAGUCUAGUUAGUGGCAUAUCGCAACAGUAGAAAGUCAAGCUAGGAUAAACUCAAUAAUUAUUAUUUUGACAAGUAGGAAAAAUCUUAAUUGUCUAGGAAAC
rnacentral:lncRNA from 1 species